rnacentral:misc_RNA from 1 species
GAUGAAGAACGCAGCGAAAUGCGAUACGUAAUGUGAAUUGCAGAAUUCAGUGAAUCAUCGAAUCUUUGAACGCAUAUUGCGCUCUCUGGUAUUCCGGAGAGCAUGCUUGUUUGAGUAUCAGUAAACACCUCAACUUCCAUAUCUUUUUUGAAAUGGGAGUUGGACUUGAGUGAUCCCAACGCUUUUCCUCACCGAAAAGUGGCGGGUUACUUGAAAUGCAGGUGCAGCUGGACUUUUCUCUGAGCUAUAAGCAUAUCUAUUUAGUCUGCCUAAAAAACAGAUUAUUACCUUUGCUGCAGCUAACAUAAAGGAGAUUAGUUCUUGUGCUGACUGAUGCAGGAUUCACAAAGACGGCUUCGGCCGACUUUGUAAACUCGAUCUCAAAUCAAGUAAGACUACCCGCUGAACUUAAGCAUAUCAAUGCGGAGGA